UACGAAGGGGGCUAGCGUUGCUCGGAAUCACUGGGCGUAAAGGGUGCGUAGGCGGGUUUUUAAGUCAGGGGUGAAAUCCUGGAGCUCAACUCCAGAACUGCCUUUGAUACUGAAGAUCUUGAGUCCGAGAGAGGUGAGUGGAACUGCGAGUGUAGAGGUGAAAUUCGUAGAUAUUCGCAAGAACACCAGUGGCGAAGGCGGCUCACUGGCCCGGUACUGACGCUGAGGUGCGAAAGCGUGGGGAGCAAACAGG
rnacentral:rRNA from 1 species